UUGACCUCGGAUCAGGUAGGACUACCCGCUGAACUUAAGCAUAUCAAUAAGCGGAGGAAAAGAAACCAACAGGGAUUGCCCCAGUAACGGCGAGUGAAGCGGCAACAGCUCAGAUUUGGAAUCUGGCCCCCAGGGCCCGAGUUGUAAUCUGGAGAGGAUGCUUCUGGCGCGGCGCCUUCCGAGUUCCCUGGAACGGGACGCCGGAGAGGGUGAGAGCCCCGUACGGUUGGACGCCUAGCCUUUGUGAAGCUCCUUUGACGAGUCGAGUAGUUUGGGAAUGCUGCUCAAAAUGGGAGGUAAAUUUCUUCUAAAGCUAAAUACCGGCCAGAGACCGAUAGCGCACAAGUAGAGUGAUCGAAAGAUGAAAAGCACUUUGAAAAGAGGGUCAAACAGUACGUGAAAUUGUUGAAAGGGAAGCGCCCGUGGCCAGACUUGUGCCCCGCGGACCACCCGGCGCCCUCAGCGCCGGUGCACUCCGCGGGGCGCAGGCCAGCAUCGGUUUUCCUAGGGGGAUAAAGGCGGCGGGAACGUGGCUCCCUCGGGAGUGUUAUAGCCCGCCGCGCCAUGCCCCUGGGGGGACCGAGGACCGCGCUUCGGCAAGGAUGCUGGCGUAAUGG
rnacentral:rRNA from 1 species